UACGUAGGGGGCAAGCGUUGUCCGGAAUCAUUGGGCGUAAAGCGCGCGUAGGCGGCCCGGUAAGUCCGCUGUAAAAGUCCAGGGCUCAACCCUGGAAAGCCGGUGGAAACUGUCGGGCUAGAGUCCGGAAGAGGCGAGUGGAAUUCCUGGUGUAGCGGUGGAAUGCGCAGAUAUCAGGAGGAACACCGAUGGCGAAGGCAGCUCGCUGGGACGGUACUGACGCUGAGGCGCGAAAGCGUGGGGAGCGAACAGG
rnacentral:rRNA from 1 species